GCAUGCUGUUAAAAGUAAAACUGGGAGAUGUCCAAAAGUUUGUUCGGAUUACAGAACCAAAUCUGACGGAGUUUCUGAGUGCAGCAUUUGCAAAGUUUGGUGUCCCAGCUGUAACAGAAGGUGUGAAAGUUGUUGACAGUUCAGGGACCGAGUUGGAUGACGAUGUUUUUGAGGAUAUAGCAAGAGAUGCAUCCACUGGGGUGCUAACCAUCAAAUAUGACACAGAGUCUGUCUCCACGCUAGCCUCAUCUGAGCGGUCCCAACCAUCAUCCCUCGAUUCGUCGGGCUCACAGGAUACUGUCAUCAUUUCAGAGAGCCCUUCCAGAAAACGCCAGAGGCUGGAUACAGAAGCUAAGCAAGUCAACGCGUAAACAGGAAGUAAGGUCAUGCAUCACGAGCAGAGGUCUGCACUCUCCGAGCUAUCUAUCUAUCGCAACGCCACGGCAAAACC